AUUGAACGCUGGCGGCAGGCCUAACACAUGCAAGUCGAGCGGAGCGGAGGACGGGUGAGUAAUGCCUAGGAAGCUGCCUGGUAGUGGGGGAUAACGUCCGGAAACGGGCGCUAAUACAGCAUACUAUCAGAUGAGCCUAGGUAGGAUUAGCUAGUUGGUGGGGUAAAGGCCUACCAAGGCGACGAGCCGUAACUGGUCUGAGAGGCUGAUCAGUCAAACUGGAACGGAGACACGGUCCAGACGCCUACGGGAGGCAGCAGGGGGGAAUAUUUGGCAAUGGGCGAAAGACUGAUCCAGCCAGGCCGCGUGUGUGAAGAAGGUCUUCGGAUUGGAAAGCACUUUAAGUUGGGAGGCGUUACCUACAGAGUAAGCACCGGCUAACUUCGUGCCAGCAGCCGCGGUAAUAC
rnacentral:rRNA from 1 species